rnacentral:rRNA from 1 species
UACGUAGGGCGCAAGCGUUGUCCGGAAUUAUUGGGCGUAAAAAGCUCGUAGGCGGCUUGUCACGUCGGAUGUGAAAGCCCGAGGCUUAACCUCGGGUCUGCAUUCGAUACGGGCUAGCUAGAGUGUGGUAGGGGAGAUCGGAAUUCCUGGUGUAGCGGUGAAAUGCGCAGAUAUCAGGAGGAACACCGGUGGCGAAGGCGGAUCUCUGGGCCAUUACUGACGCUGAGGAGCGAAAGCGUGGGGAGCGAACAGG